GACGAACGCUGGCGGCGUGCCUAAUACAUGCAAGUUGAGCGAUGAAGAUUGGUGCUUGCACCAAUUUGAAGAGCAGCGAACGGGUGAGUAACGCGUGGGGAAUCUGCCUUUGAGCGGGGGACAACAUUUGGAAACGAAUGCUAAUACCGCAUAACAACUUUAAACAUAAGUUUUAAGUUUGAAAGAUGCAAUUGCAUCACUCAAAGAUGAUCCCGCGUUGUAUUAGCUAGUUGGUGAGGUAAAGGCUCACCAAGGCGAUGAUACAUAGCCGACCUGAGAGGGUGAUCGGCCACAUUGGGACUGGGACACGGCCCAAACUCCUACGGGAGGCAGCAGUAGGGAAUCUUCGGCAAUGGACGAAAGUCUGACCGAGCAACGCCGCGUGAGUGAAGAAGGUUUUCGGAUCGUAAAACUCUGUUGGUAGAGAAGAACGUUGGUGAGAGUGGAAAGCUCAUCAAGUGACGGUAACUACCCAGAAAGGGGCGGCUAACUACGUG
rnacentral:rRNA from 1 species